AAGGUUGCAGCCCCGGGAUGCAUGAAAAGGGAAGGCGGUGCAAAUCUGUAGCAGCUCACUCUACUGUAUGGCUGACGAAAGGCGAAAUGUCACUGAGCAAGCCGCUUGGGAAGACGCUGAGUAGGAGGAAGCUGAGUCGGGAGACCUGCCUUGAUUGA
rnacentral:ncRNA from 1 species